rnacentral:antisense_RNA from 1 species
UGAGACACGACAUUGCUCACAUUGCUUCCAGUGUAAUUUAUAGCUUUCGGUGUAGUGGCUGUAUUUCU